UGCAUCUAUCCCAGUUUGGGCUGUGAUCUCAUCAGUUCUUACAAACUAAGCAGCAUUAUACCUGAUCAGUGUCUGGAGGUGAGACCUCAAGGAAAACCCAGGUGCUGAAGGAA
rnacentral:rRNA from 1 species